AGCAGCCGCGGUAAUUCCAGCUCCAAUAGCGUAUAUUAAAGUUGUUGCAGUUAAAAAGCUCGUAGUUGAAUUUCGGGGUUCUACCGUUGGUCGGGCUAUAGUCUGUACUGGCGUGUGGAAUUUCUACCUUCUGGGGAACUAUCAUGUUAUUAAUUUAGCGUGGUAGGAAACCAGAACCUUUACCUUGAAAAAUUAGAGUGUUCAAAGCAGGCUUACGUCUGAAUACAUUAGCAUGGAAUAAUAAAAUAGGACGGUGGUCCUGUUUUGUUGGUUUCUGAAUCACCGUAAUGAUUAAUAGGGAUAGUUGGGGGCAUUAGUAUUCAAUUGUCAGAGGUGAAAUUCUUGGAUUUAUUGAAGACUAACUUCUGCGAAAGCAUUUGCCAAGGAUGUUUUCAUUAAUCAAGAACGAAAGUUAGGGGAUCGAAGACGAUCAGAUACCGUCGUAGUCUUAACCAUAAACUAU
rnacentral:sRNA from 1 species